UUUUGCCCCAGAUGGCAGUAAAAAGCCUUUUAGGAGAAAAUGUGUUUUUUAUUGGACUUAAAAAGCGACCAAAGGAAGCUCUUUUAAGACCUUAUAAAAAAGCAUUUUCGAGAAAAAGCUUGAAACAACAGCUGGAUUAAGG
rnacentral:sRNA from 1 species